rnacentral:tRNA from 1 species
GCCUGGAUAGCUCAGUUGGUAGAGCAAGCGAUUGAAAAUCGCUGUGUCGGCGGUUCGAUUCCGUCUCCGGGCACCA